GACGAACGCUGGCGGCGUGCUUAACACAUGCAAGUCGAACGGUGAAGCGCCUUCCUUUUUGGUGGGUGUGGAUGAGUGGCGAACGGGUGAGUAACACGUGAGUAACCUGCCCCCUUCUUCUGGAUAACCGCAUGAAAGUGUGGCUAAUACGGGAUAUUCUGGGUCUGUCGCAUGAUGGGUCUGGGAAAGAUAUUGUUUCGGUGGGGGAUGGGCUCGCGGCCUAUCAGCUUGUUGGUGGGGUGAUGGCCUACCAAGGCGGUGACGGGUAGCCGGCCUGAGAGGGUGGACGGUCACACUGGGAGUGAGACACGGCCCAGACUCCUACGGGAGGCAGCAGUGGGGAAUAUUGCACAAUGGGCGCAAGCCUGAUGCAGCGACGCCGCGUGAGGGAUGGAGGCCUUCGGGCUGUGAACCUCUUUCGCCAGUGAAGCAGGCCUGCCUCGUUUGUGGGUGGGUUGACGGUAGCUGGAGAAGAAGCGCCGGCUAACUACGUG
rnacentral:rRNA from 1 species